UACGUAGGGUGCGAGCGUUAAUCGGAAUUACUGGGCGUAAAGCGUGCGCAGGCGGCGCCGCAAGUCAGGCGUGAAAUCCCCGAGCUUAACUUGGGAAUGGCGCUUGAAACUACGGUGCUGGAGUGUGGCAGAGGGAGGUGGAAUUCCACGUGUAGCGGUGAAAUGCGUAGAGAUCCGGAGGAACACCAGUGGCGAAGGCGGCCCCCUGGGCCGCGCCUGACGCUGAGACGCGAAAGCGCGGGGAGCGAACGGG
rnacentral:rRNA from 1 species